rnacentral:tRNA from 1 species
GAGGGUAUAGCUCAGUGGUAGAGUGCAUGCUUAGCAUGCACAAGGUCCCAGGUUCGAUCCCCAGUACCUCCA